GCUUCCAUGGUCUAGCGGUUAUGACAUGAGUCUCAUAUAGAAUUAUAUGACGCCAAGGAACACCUUGGUGAGCCAUCUCAGGGUCGUGGGUUCGAUCCCCACUGGAGGCA